UCUAGAUAAUUUCCAAGUUUUCCCUGUAGUCCCAUCUACUCGGGAGGCUGAGGUGGGAGGAUCUCUUGAGCCCAGGAGUUCUGGGCUGCAGUGCGCUAUGCCCAUCGGGUGUCCGCAGUAAGUUCGGCAUCGAUAUGGUGACCUCCCUGGAUCAGGGGACCACCAGGUUGCCUAAGGAGGGGCGAACCGGCCCAGGUCAGAAACGGAGCAGAUCAAAACUCCCGUGCUGAUCAGUAGUGGGAUCGUGCCUGUGAAUAGCCACUGCACUCCAGCCCGGGCAACAUAGCAGAAUCCCGUCUCU
rnacentral:SRP_RNA from 1 species